rnacentral:rRNA from 1 species
CGGCGGACGGGUGAGUAACACGUGGGUAAUCUGCCUUAUACAGGGGGAUAACAGUUAGAAAUGACUGCUAAUACCGCAUAAGCGCACGGGGACGCAUGUUUCUGUGUGAAAAACUCCGGUAGUAUAAGAUGAGCCUGCGUCUGAUUAGCUGGUUGGUGGGGUAACGGCCUACCAAGGCGACGAUCAGUAGCCGGCCUGAGAGGGUGAACGGCCACAUUGGGACUGAGACACGGCCCAAACUCCUACGGGAGGCAGCAG